rnacentral:rRNA from 1 species
GACGAACGCUGGCGGCGGGCUUAACACAUGCAAGUCGAACGGAAAGGCCCUUCGUUUGUUUGGUGCUCGAGUGGCGAAAGGGUGAGUAACACGUGUGUAACCUGCCCUUGACUUUGGGAUAACUUCAGGAAACUGGGGCUAAUACCCGAUAGGAGCUCCUGCUGCCUUGUGGUUGUUGGUAAAUUUCGGCGGUUGGUGAUUGACUUGGCGGUUAUCUGCCUGUUGGUGGGGUAGUGGCUUAACAAGGCUUUGACGGGUAGCCGGCCUGCGAGGGUGACCGGCCACACUGGGACUGAGACAACGCGCAGAAUCCUACGGGAGGAAGGAGCGGGGAAUAUUGCACAAUGGGCGGAAGCCUGCUGCAGGAACGCAGGGUGUGGGAUGCCGGACCUCGGGUUGUAAACCGAUUUCGCAUGUGACGAAGCGUGAGUGACGGUAAUGGGUAAAGAAGCAACGGCUAACUACGUG